rfam:Pseudonocardia sp. CNS-139 NODE_169_length_5212_cov_99.9015_ID_399, whole genome shotgun sequence.
GGAGGCGAGCCCGGCGGUGUCCCCACCCGGUAGCCCUGGCGCACCUUCCCCGGUGCCAGGUCUGCCGGGUGGAGGCAUCGCCGGGACGGGCAGCCGGU